rnacentral:pre_miRNA from 1 species
UCUAUAUAACAUAGAUACAUUACGUGUGUGUGUGUUGUGUGCUAGAGGUCUAUAUAACAUAGAUACAUUACGUACACACGUAAUGUAUCUAUGUUAUAUAGAC